UACGGAGGGUGCAAGCGUUAUCCGGAUUCACUGGGUUUAAAGGGUGCGUAGGCGGGUUUGUAAGUCAGUGGUGAAAUCCCCGAGCUUAACUUGGGAACUGCCAUUGAUACUGCAAGUCUUGAAUUUUCUGGAGGUAAGCGGAAUAUGUCAUGUAGCGGUGAAAUGCUUAGAUAUGACAUAGAACACCCAUUGCGAAGGCAGCUUACUACGGGAAUAUUGACGCUGAGGCACGAAAGCGUGGGGAUCAAACAGG
rnacentral:ncRNA from 2 species